rnacentral:rRNA from 1 species
GACGAACGCUGGCGGCGUGCCUAAUACAUGCAAGUUGAGCGCUGAAGGUUGGUACUUGUACCGACUGGAUGAGCAGCGAACGGGUGAGUAACGCGUGGGGGAUCUGCCUUUGAGCGGGGGACAACAUUUGGAAACGAAUGCUAAUACCGCAUAAAAACUUUAAACACAAGUUUUAAGUUUGAAAGAUGCAAUUGCAUCACUCAAAGAUGAUCCCGCGUUGUAUUAGCUAGUUGGUGAGGUAAAGGCUCACCAAGGCGAUGAUACAUAGCCGACCUGAGAGGGUGAUCGGCCACAUUGGGACUGAGACACGGCCCAAACUCCUACGGGAGGCAGCAGUAGGGAAUCUUCGGCAAUGGACGAAAGUCUGACCGAGCAACGCCGCGUGAGUGAAGAAGGUUUUCGGAUCGUAAAACUCUGUUGGUAGAGAAGAACGUUGGUGAGAGUGGAAAGCUCAUCAAGUGACGGUAACUACCCAGAAAGGGACGGCUAACUACGUG